CACAGACAUUCAGAUCAUGGCAGAACUGUCACAGAUGUUACUUUGUGAAAACACAAAGAAUAAUGUGUUUGGAGAGAUCAGUCUUCAAUUAGCUAUAUUUUCUAGGAGCCUACCUUUACUUAGCCUCACAACAUGGGCCUUAGCUUUAGCACUUAAUCUGCACAAAUACCUGGCUUAAGUGUUAUGACUGACUGGCUAUUCAACCAAACCAUACAAAUGACCAAUUCGGUAAGAAAGCAUGAACUUCAGUGUUGAACCAAAUCAACCAACCUCCUCAAUCCAAAUGAACAAUGCUAUUCUAGGAGUCUGUGCUAGAAUAAAAUCCUAAUGCAAAGGCUGUCUUAAAAUGCUGAACCCAGAAGAAUUUGGCAUAAAUAAGACAUGGAGUUAGCUGACAUGAGAUAUUACAUUUAUUCCACUGUUGACGAGGACAAAACUGGGCCGCUAUUGUCACAGGAGAGGAUAACAAAGGAAGCUGAGGAAGUCUGUUCUGGAGGCACCAUGACAAAGCACCAGACAGAAAGCAGUCACGUGUGGGGAGAUGAGCAGAGACACCACUUCUCAAGCACCUGAUUAUUCUUUCUCAGUAUUUAGAAGCAAAAAUUAUCCUUAAGAAAAACAACCGCAAACGCAACACAGGCUACACAGAUGAGAAAAUGGGGCUUGCAGAGCUCAAACCAUUACACCAUUCAGAAGCUGGCUUUGGUAUUACUUCAAGUUAUUCAAAACAGUCACCACUUGCUGAGCCUCUGAUGUCUCAUCUGUUGAAUGGGUACAUUUUCUUCCUGAUCCUUCCACCUCUAAACUUGUCUAUUUCCAAGGAUCUAUGGCAUCCAGGCAUAUGAUUUCAAGAGAGAAGGCUGAAAAGGAAGGUGACUGGAAUAUUAAGAACUGUGAGAUAUUCUGAGGAAACUCUAAUUUGUAAAUUGGUAGAAAUGCCAGUAAUUUGUUGGGAAUUGAAGACCCUCUGUAUUCAAGAGCGAAGCUUGGCAGCUGUGCACUGUUGUUUUAUAAAUCAAUAUUACAUCUGAAGGUGGUGUUUGAAUGUUUGUGUCAUUGGGGUUUGUCUCCAACAUAGUCCUGUGACAAGAAAUGUUCAAACAAAACAAACACAAUCCCUUCCCUGUCCUUUAGGAUAAAGUCCAAACGUAAUUCCACAACAGGGAUAUAACAUUCAAAUCAACUACAGAACUUCUGUAAUUAUAUAAAACCCCACGACCACAGAAAUGCAAUUGAAUUGAAGACACUUUGCAAUAUUCCCCAAGAAAGGACUGUGUGGCUGUCAGAUUAACAAAAGUCAAGAGGUGGUGAGACAAUGCUCACCAUUGCAAAAAAGAGCUUUGUGCAUAAUGAACAGAAUUUGCAUGCCUGUUUAGGAAAUUAAGGUGAAGCCAAGGUGACUUAGGGUCACAUGAGGAGUCACAACGGUCACUAACUAGAAAAGUGAGCAUUAAACAUUAGUCAUUUGGUUUAAAUAAGUUCAUCUCAAUUAUUAUUAGAUAUUAUUACAUAGAUUUAAUAAAAAAUAAUAGCUUAAGUGAAAUUUUCAACAUUAUCUGGUUAUUACCUGCCCUGAGCUUCUGUGAUUCUGUGCCAUGAUUUUGGUUGCUAUAUCAGAAAGGAGAGUUGAGGCUGAGCUGCUUUUUGAUUGUUGUCAAUUCCUCCAUCAUUGAGAUACAGCCCACUUGCACAGUUAUGACCAGGGUAAACCAUGAAGAAUGGGCAAUGGGGCAUUUAGUACAUUAACUCAUUUUCAUAGGCAAAACCGGCUACGUGAUCAGGAAGGAAAAAAAAAUGAAGUGUCAUUGCCAUUCUGGCCUUCUUUAACCCAAAGAACUAUCUCAUAGAGUUUACAAACAAAAUAGGUCAUGCCAAGGAUUCUAAAAACACCAGUCCAAGCCAAGGAUGGAGCGAAAUGCCUCUACUGCUCCGGUUCAGUGGUUUUAAAAUUGUUUUAAAUCAUAUUGUCCAUCAGUAAAAUAUUUUCGAGCACACAUCUCCAAUAUUUCUGCAAUUGUACUACUAGAUUAGAUAUAUUACAAAGCAUUAUCAAACAGAAAAUGUUAAAGGACAGGAUAAAAAGUAAUUAGAAAUCAAUGCUAUCUUCCUGAAUUCUAUCUUCUGUAAACUAGAAGAUUAACACACUCCAUUCUCAACAGAGGAGAGGCAGAUGAAAUUGGCAGGACCCCAGGUUUUCCUGAGUGGUCUGGGUCUAGCUAAACUGGAACAGAGAAGCAAGUGGGAAACCUCUUUUGCCGUCACUGAACACCAGCACUAAGCCGAGGAUUAAGUAGGGGAAAUGGUUGUACUUAGACUUGCAAAACUGCAUGUGGAACACUCUUGUUUCAUUUUGAUUCCAUCUGCACUGAACCACAGAAACUCAGAGCCUGCUAAUAACCAGAUGAAAAUCAAAAAAUUCUCUCAAACAAUUCUUUUUGAUUAUGCCCAAGUGCCAUCUAAUAAUGGUUGAGAUUGAUUUAUUAAAAAAAUAAAUAAAUAACUAAUUUGCUCAACGUGCUUGGUAUGGGGGAGAGGGAGAAAGAUGCAGAUGAAUGUGAGUGUGUGUGCGUGUGUGUGUGUGUGUGUGUGUGUGACAGAGAGAGAGAAAUCCCAGGGGUAUCUUGGUGGAGGGGAGAGAAAGAAAAACCAACUUGACUUUGGCAGAAAUUCCUGGCCUUGCCACGUGCAAGUUGUGCUACUCGGAAGCUAAAACGAGUUGACCAGGCAGAGCUCACUUAGACCUUGUUGCAGUUACUUCUGUUCAAAAUGGGGACAACAAAGUCUAUUUUGCAGAGUCAUUGUGAGCAGUAGGAAUUGUUUUUAUAAAGUGACUCACACAGCACUUUAUAGCAGUUGCUCAAUAAAUGGUGGCCGCUCUUGUUACAUAACUGGACAAGACAAUAAAUCCUAGACUUUGCCAAGAAUACCCAUUCAGUAUUCAAGUGCACCAACAGUAUAUGGCAAUCACGAGAAUAUGUUUUUACUUUAGAAUUCAAAUUCAUUUUAUUUCCAUGAUCACAUUUAAUCUUCACAAUGAAUUUGAAAGAUAGAACAAGUGUAAUUAUCCCCAUUUUACAGACACAGAAAGGUUGAUAAAUUAUUGACAUUCAGUGGUAGAGCUUACAAUCAAUCACUCAGAACUCCUGCUUUCUAUACCAGCAAUGGGAAGGAAGCAGACAUAUUUGGCAUAUGUUACUUUCUAUUAAGUAACUCAACCUCAUAAACUGUGUAUGCAUAUAUGGGUUUAAAAAUUUUUUCAUCUAAAGUCAACUCGGUUUAGCCCAGUCUUUUCCUCUCUCUCUCUCUCUCCAGUCUCUUCAUCACCCAACACAUUCCUUGCUAAUAAAACAAAUAUCACAAUAUGAUGAAUUGAAGAAAUGAAAAAAGCAUCUGUUACAUGUGCUCUCCAUUAAAACUUUGC
rnacentral:lncRNA from 1 species